rnacentral:misc_RNA from 1 species
UAUUGAUAUGCUUAAGUUCAGCGGGUAUUCCUACCUGAUCCGAGGUCAACAUUUGCAUGAAGUUGGGUGUUUUACGGACGUGGACGCGCCGCGCUCCCGGUGCGAGUUGUGCAAACUACUGCGCAUGAGAGGCUGCGGCGAGACCGCCACUGUAUUUCGGGGCCGGGAUCCCGUCUUAGGGGUUCCCGAAGUCCCCAACGCCGACCCCCCGGAGGAGGGGUUCGAGGGUUGAAAUGACGCUCGGACAGGCAUGCCCGCCAGAAUACUGGCGGGCGCAAUGUGCGUUCAAAGAUUCGAUGAUUCACUGAAUUCUGCAAUUCACAUUACUUAUCGCAUUUCGCUGCGUUCUUCAUCGAUGCCAGAACCAAGAGAUCCGUUGUUGAAAGUUUUGAUUCAUUUUGAAUUUUUGCUCAGAGCUGUAAAAAUAACGUCCGCGAGGGGACUACAGAAAGAGUUUGGUUGGUCCCUCCGGCGGGCGCCUGGUUCCGGGGCUGCGACGCACCCGGGGCGUGACCCCGCCGAGGCAACAGUUUGGUAUGGUUCACAUUGGGUUUGGGAGUUGUAAACUCGGUAAUGAUCCCUCCGCUGGUUCACCAACGGAGACCUUGUUACGACUUUUACUUCCUCUAAUUGGACCAAGAC